rnacentral:rRNA from 1 species
GACGAACGCUGGCGGCGUGCUUAACACAUGCAAGUCGAACGGAAAGGCCCUGCUUUUGUGGGGUGCUCGAGUGGCGAACGGGUGAGUAACACGUGAGUAACCUGCCCUUGACUUUGGGAUAACUUCAGGAAACUGGGGCUAAUACCGGAUAGGAGCUCCUGCUGCAUGGUGGGGGUUGGAAAGUUUCGGCGGUUGGGGAUGGACUCGCGGCUUAUCAGCUUGUUGGUGGGGUAGUGGCUUACCAAGGCUUUGACGGGUAGGCGGCCUGGGAGGGUGACCGGCCACAUUGGGACUGAGAUACGGCCCAGACUCCUAUGGGAGGCAGCAGGGGGGAAUAUUGCACAAUGGGCGGAAGCCGGAUGCAGCAACGCCGCGUGCGGGAUGACGGCCUUCGGGUUGUAAACCGCUUUCGCCUGUGACGAAGCGUGAGUGACGGUAAUGGGUAAAGAAGCACCGGCUAACUACGUG